GAUGAACGCUGGCGGCGUGCCUAAUACAUGCGAGUCGAGCGAACAGACGAGGAGCUUGCUCCUCUGACGUUAGCGGCGGACGGGUGAGUAACACGUGGAUAACCUACCUAUAAGACUGGGAUAACUUCGGGAAACCGGAGCUAAUACCGGAUAAUAUAUUGAACCGCAUGGUUCAAUAGUGAAAGACGGUUUUGCUGUCACUUAUAGAUGGAUCCGCGCCGCAUUAGCUAGUUGGUAAGGUAACGGCUUACCAAGGCGACGAUGCGUAGCCGACCUGAGAGGGUGAUCGCCACACUGGAACUGAGACACGGUCCAGACUCCUACGGGAGGCAGCAGUAGGGAAUCUUCCGCAAUGGGCGAAAGCCUGACGGAGCAACGCCGCGUGAGUGAUGAAGGUCUUCGGAUCGUAAAACUCUGUUAUUAGGGAAGAACAAAUGUGUAAGUAACUAUGCACGUCUUGACGGUACCUAAUCAGAAAGCCACGGCUAACUACGUG
rnacentral:rRNA from 1 species